GGAAUUGCUAGUAAUGGCAGGUCAGCAUACUGCCGUGAAUACGUUCCCGGGCCUUGUACACACCGCCCGUCACACCAUGAGAGUUGGGAAUACCCGAAGCCUGUGAGCUAACGUUAAGAGGCAGCAGUCGAAGGUAGAAUCAANUGAUUGGGGUGAAGUCGUAACAAGGUACC
rnacentral:rRNA from 1 species